rnacentral:rRNA from 1 species
CCUACGGGUAGCUGCAGUGGGGGAUAUUGCACAAUGGGGGAAACCCUGAUGCAGCGACGCCACGUGAGCGAUGAAGUACUUCGGUAUGUAAAGCUCUAUCAGCAGGGAAGAAAAUGACGGUACCUGACUAAGUAGCCCCGGCUAACUACGUUCCAGCAGCCGCGGUAAUACGGAGGGGGGAAGCGUUAUACGGGUUUACUGGGUGUACAGGGGGCGUAGACGGGAGUGCAAGUCUGAAGUGAAAGGCAAGGGCUCAACCCUUGGACUGCUUGGGAAACUGUGGUGCUGGAGUGUGGGAGAGGUAAGUGGAAUGCCUGGUGUAGCGGUGAAAUGCGUAGAUAUGAGGAGGAACACCAGUGGCGAAGGCGGCUUGCUGGACCAUGACUGACGUUGAGGCUCGAAAGCGUGGGGAGCGAACAGGAUUAGAUACCCCAGUAGUC